AUUGAACGCUGGCGGCAGGCCUAACACAUGCAAGUCGAACGAGUGGCGGACGGGUGAGUAAUGUCUGGGAAACUGCCUGAUGGCGGGGGAUAACUACUGGAAACGGUAGCUAAUACCGCAUACCAUCAGAUGUGCCCACAGUGGAUUAACUGGUCGGUGGGGUAAAGGCUCACAAAGGCGACGAUCCCUAGCUGGUCUGAGAGGAUGACCAGACACACCGGAACUGAGCCACGGUCCAGAGUCCUACGGGAGGCAGCUGUGGGGAAUAUUGCGCAAUGGGCGCAAGCCUGAUGCAGCCAUGCCGCGUGUAUGAUGAAGGCCUUCGGGUUGUAAAGUACUUUCAGCGGGGAGGCGUUACCCGCAGAAGAAGCACCGGCUAACUCCGUGCGAGCAGCCGCGGUAAUUC
rnacentral:rRNA from 1 species